UAUGACCAUAUCACGUUGUAACACCUGUCCUCGUACGAUCAUCGAAGUUAAGCAACGUCAAGCCUGAUCAGUACCGAGAUGGGUGACCAAUUGGGAAUACCAAUUGCUGUAAG